rnacentral:rRNA from 1 species
UAGGGAAUCUUCCGCAAUGGACGCCAGUCUGACGGAGCAACGCCGCGUGAGUGAAGAAGGAUUUCGGUUCGUAAAACUCUGUUGUUAGAGAAGAACAGCGCAUAGAGUAACUGUUAUGCGUGUGACGGUAUCUAACCAGAAAGCCACGGCUAACUACGUGCCAGCAGCCGCGGUAAUACGUAGGUGGCAAGCGUUGUCCGGCUUUAUUGGGCGUAAAGCGAGCGCAGGCGGUCAAUUAAGUCUGAUGUGAAAGCCCCCGGCUCAACCGGGGAGGAUCAUUGGAAACUGGUUGACUUGAGUGCAGAGGAGGAGAGUGGAAUUCCAUGUGUAGCGGUGAAAUGCGUAAAUAUAUGGAGGAACACCAGUGGCGAAGGCGACUCUCUCGUCUAUAACUGACGCUGAGGCUCGAAAGCGUGGGUAGCAAACAGG